GUUUCCUGCAGGCCGAGGAGCCGUGUUUCUCCCCGCGCUGAGGCAGCUGUAUCAGGGAAGAGUCUGGUUCAACAGGGCCUAUAGCAGACAGCAGAACCUGUACGGAACCCUGGCGCCAGCAGCUAACAGCUGCGGGGAUGUUCCCACGGGGCGAAGAACCCUGCAUAGCCUUCAUGGCGAGCGGCACGCACUGCCUGGCGGGGUGAGUGCAUGUCACAGCACGGACGGGGCGGGCCGGGAGAAAUACACCACCGCUGUCUGAUCGGUGGCGUUCUGAGCUGGCCCCUCCCGCAGGGCACAGUGCCACAAUGGCACAGACACCCGGCCGGCUCACAAGGCUACGUCCCAACGCAACCAACGGGAUGCAGGGAUGCUUAGUGUGAGAGCAACCGAACCAGCUGAGGAAGGAGAGGGCCAUGCUGGAUGGAUGAGUCAGCGGGGGAGAGCGAGGCUGCCCAGCCUGUGACAUCUACGCUCCCCUCCUCCUGAGCCAUCUGGCUCCUGCAGGCUUGCUCAGUGAGCCGUGGGCCUUAUCCGGCGCCCGCGGAAGCCACUGGCCAAACUCCAGCUGGCUUUGCGAGGAACAUGGUCACAGCCCAGCCGACUGACGUCCCUGGCGGGGGUGGGAGGGGGGUUGCUGAUUGGCCGGGAAGGUUUGUGGGUUUCAGCACUGGGGUUUCUUUAGCAGGUUCCGACCAAAUCACGUCGUGACCCUUGGUCCGAAGUCCCUCAGCUGUCCGAGGCGCACGGUCCAAAGGGAGGGCUACGCAGCUGCCCACCAAGGCGAUACUCCCAGUCUAGGGAGACUAGGUAUCCCAAUUUCAUAGGGACAGCCCCAAAAUUCGUGGCUUUGGAUUAGAGGCACCUUUUAACCAUCCACCCCAUUGCUAUCUGGCCACAAAUAUCAGCUCAUCAGGGGGAGCGUCCCAGCCUGGUGUCUGCUCCAAAGGUGUUUCAGCUCGGAGAACAUCUAAGCUCGUAGGAGCGAUGCCAAGGGGCGGGAGGUGGAGCUAGCCCACCGGGAGGAGCGUGAGACCCUUUCUUCACCUUGGCUUUGCCUAAGCAAGAAGCAAAGACCCCUGGAUUG